rnacentral:misc_RNA from 1 species
AACGCACCUUGCGCUCCUUGGUAUUCCGAGGAGCAUGCUUGUUUGAGUGUCAUUAAAUUCUCAACCCCUUUUGAAGUUUUCGUGACUUUGAAAGUUGGGCUUGGAUAUGGGGGCUGCUGGCUUCUCAAAGUCGGCUCUCCUUAAAAGCAUUAGCGGAACCUUUUUGUGAGCCGUCUAAUAGUGUGAUAAUUAUCUACGCUAUAGGUUGUUUGCAUUAAUAUAAUGAGGUUCAGCUUCUAAUAGUCCAUUGACUUGGACAAUAUCUUUAUUGAUGACCAUUUGACCUCAAAUCAAGUAGGACUACCCGCUGAACUUAA